UGAAGAGUUUGAUCAUGGCUCAGAUUGAACGCUGGCGGCAGGCCUAACACAUGCAAGUCGAACGGUAACAGGAAGCAGCUUGCUGCUUCGCUGACGAGUGGCGGACGGGUGAGUAAUGUCUGGGAAACUGCCUGAUGGAGGGGGAUAACUACUGGAAACGGUGGCUAAUACCGCAUAACGUCGCAAGACCAAAGAGGGGGACCUUCGGGCCUCUUGCCAUCAGAUGUGCCCAGAUGGGAUUAGCUAGUUGGUGAGGUAACGGCUCACCAAGGCGACGAUCCCUAGCUGGUCUGAGAGGAUGACCAGCCACACUGGAACUGAGACACGGUCCAGACUCCUACGGGAGGCAGCAGUGGGGAAUAUUGCACAAUGGGCGCAAGCCUGAUGCAGCCAUGCCGCGUGUAUGAAGAAGGCCUUCGGGUUGUAAAGUACUUUCAGCGGGGAGGAAGGUGUUGUGGUUAAUAACCGCAGCAAUUGACGUUACCCGCAGAAGAAGCACCGGCUAACUCCGUGCCAGCAGCCGCGGUAAUACGGAGGGUGCAAGCGUUAAUCGGAAUUACUGGGCGUAAAGCGCACGCAGGCGGUCUGUCAAGUCGGAUGUGAAAUCCCCGGGCUCAACCUGGGAACUGCAUUCGAAACUGGCAGGCUUGAGUCUUGUAGAGGGGGGUAGAAUUCCAGGUGUAGCGGUGAAAUGCGUAGAGAUCUGGAGGAAUACCGGUGGCGAAGGCGGCCCCCUGGACAAAGACUGACGCUCAGGUGCGAAAGCGUGGGGAGCAAACAGGAUUAGAUACCCUGGUAGUCCACGCCGUAAACGAUGUCUACUUGGAGGUUGUGCCCUUGAGGCGUGGCUUCCGGAGCUAACGCGUUAAGUAGACCGCCUGGGGAGUACGGCCGCAAGGUUAAAACUCAAAUGAAUUGACGGGGGCCCGCACAAGCGGUGGAGCAUGUGGUUUAAUUCGAUGCAACGCGAAGAACCUUACCUGGUCUUGACAUCCACAGAACUUUCCAGAGAUGGAUUGGUGCCUUCGGGAACUGUGAGACAGGUGCUGCAUGGCUGUCGUCAGCUCGUGUUGUGAAAUGUUGGGUUAAGUCCCGCAACGAGCGCAACCCUUAUCCUUUGUUGCCAGCGAUUAGGUCGGGAACUCAAAGGAGACU
rnacentral:rRNA from 1 species